rnacentral:rRNA from 1 species
CCUACGGGAGGCUGCAGUAGGGAAUAUUGCUCAAUGGGGGAAACCCUGAAGCAGCAACGCCGCGUGGAGGAUGAAGGUUUUCGGAUUGUAAACUCCUUUUGUUAGAGAAGAGAAUGACGGUAGCUAACGAAUAAGCACCGGCUAACGCCGGGCCAGCAGCCGCGGUAAUACGGAGGGUGCAAGCGUUACUCGGAAUGACUGGGCGUAAAGAGCGCGGAGGCGGGAUAGCCAGUCAGAUGUGAAAUCCUAGGGCUUAACCCUAGAACUGCAUUUGAAACUGUUAUUCUAGAGUAUGGGAGAGGUCGGUUGCAUUCUUGUUGUAGGGGUCACAUCCGUAG